GGAAAAUGCACUGAAGCUCUGUCCUGUUCACAGGGAAAGAACGUCCAUUUACCAGGGAUAAGAAGGGUGUACUUAAAUAAAAUGGGAGGUCCUUCCUAAGCUGCAUCAGAUGGAUUUCAAAACCAAGACACGGAAAAGUUUCAGUGAAAAUGUGGAAAAGCUAUUGAGAAGGGGUGUUAGAAGCUUUGUAUGCUGAAAACAGAACAUGCUGAAUAUAAGGAGAAAAAACAAGAUGACAUCGUAAGAAAAAAAAAAUGAUUGAAAUCUCAUGUUUUAAAACAGCAACGCUGCUAUGCUAUUACAGUACCGGUGUACAUCUGGAAUGUAAAUGAUGCCACGUUAAAAUCCAAGGCAUGGGGAUGAAAAGGAGAGAGAGGAGUGGGGAACGACAAUCGAUGCCCCGAGCAAGCAACUAAACCAGGAGACUCCAGCAGCCUGAAGAGAAUAGAAUAAACCAGAAUCUCACCCCCAGGUCGGACUGCUCAGGCCAAAAAAUGGCAGUGGAAUUGCAGUCGAAUCUGAUGGGAGUCACAGCCUGAUGCAGUGCCAGUAUAUGCAGGGAGAGCCCAGUCUGAGGUUCCAGAAGGGCAACGUCAAGAUGGUACCCCUCAGACGCAUUGAGGGCAGGAGUGCGAUCGACGGGGAAGAGUCGAGCGAGGACCGCGAAGAGAGGAUCUUAGCCAUGCUGGGGAUCGUAGGGACAGUCCUCAACCUGCUGGUGAUUAUAUUCGUUUAUAUCUACACCACCAUCUGACUCAGCAGGAAGCAACAAGGAGACAACAAGCAAUGAAGAAGGCAGUUUGCACAAUGGAAAGUUACAGCAUAAUGACGUAAGCUGAUACUGUAAAUACAGCAAGGAAUUUUCAAGUGACCUUUGUGGAUAUAGCAGAGCAAUUGGAAGACUGGGGGCGGGGUUAUUUCAUGAGUAAGCAUAAGCACAAUUGACAACAGAGUCUGACAAGAGCAGUCUGUCGAAUUGUAAAUGGCAAGUAUUAUGGCUUUGUGGGUGGUAGAAGUUUGGUCGAGCUCUGAAGCUGACAAACCCCAAAACCGUGAAACACGACUUAGAGUACAGGGGUCCCAGGACUCAACGGGGUUGAACCUACACUCUCUUACAAAUAUCUUGUUUUCUACCAAUAAGCUUAAACCGGAGAAGACAUAAUGAAAGAUGAAACGGCCCAGAAUCGACUUUAUGCCGUACUUCCAACAAAGGGAAUAUGCAUUUAUACUGUUUCCACGCAAAUGUGGAUCCUGGAACUGCCAAAGCUUCAUUAUUAUUAUUAUUAUUAUUAUUAUUAUUAUUAUUAUUAUUAUUAUUGUGAUUUGCCAGAUAUGUGGUAAUAUGAAUAUAAAUUCAUAUUGAAAAUUAUAUGAUUUAAAAAAAAAAUUAAAACCUCCAAUAUAGCUGUCCAAUUUCACAUUUUGAAAUGAUAUGUAGCAAAAGGGUUUCCUUAAAAAAAAAAAAAAAAAAAAAAAACAAUACUUUUAUAGUGUUUCCAAAACCAACAGAUUUUUGCUCCCGUGUAAAACUUACACCACAAUUUUCAAGCAGAAUACAGACCUGUUAAUACACUACAAUUAAACCAGUAAGAAAUGUUACAUACACCAGUUCCAACUUUCCAUAUCUUGUUUUCUUGUAUUACUUUGCAAGAAUGUGCACAUUUCUAAUUUAAAAAAAUAAAUAAAUCAAUGAAAAGCAACUGACACAAAUGUUCAGAACAUGAAAUAGGGACCAGUGAUGAUUUUAAGGUAACUACAGACUUUAUAAACCUAGUUUGUCAUUCAGAAAGGCCAGCAAUGUACUUUAAGUGUGAAAAAAAAACAAUUAUGAUCGCAAAAAGAGCUAAGAGAAAAAACUGUUGUUCAGAAAUAUUAUACCGAAAAUAAAGAAGUACAAUAUCUUUUACUACAUGCAAAUGAAAUAAAUCUUGUUAAUAUA